CAAAUCGCUAUCGUAUCUUACGGUAAAGAGAAGCCUGCCGUGUUAGGCCAUGACGAAGCUGCUUAUGCUAAAAACCGUCGUGCCGUACUAGUUUACUAAGAGAAACUCAUGAACCGUAAUUUCAGAUAUCAUGUAUUA
rnacentral:sRNA from 1 species